AACUGAUUGAGCGACAGAGCUUAAGCGAUACUCAGUGCCUUCUUAUAGAAGUUCUUUGUUAUCACUUCAAGCAAACCUCUUUCAGCGUUAAUGGCCGAGAGGCUCAAGUAUUUUGUGUUAGGAAAUGUGUUAUGUCCGUACGUACUGGCAAAGUAAAAUGGUUCAACGAAGCUAAAGGUUUUGGUUUUAUUCAGCAGGAUGAAGGUCCGGAUGUGUUUGUUCACUUCCGUGCUAUCAACUCUACCGGUUUCAAAACCCUGGCUGAAGGCCAACGUGUUCAGUUCACUGUGACUCAAGGCCAGAAAGGCCCACAGGCUGAAAACGUAACUGUACUGUAAUUUAUACAGUAGCAGAUAAAAAAAGCGCCUUAGGCGCUUUUUUUUUA
rnacentral:sRNA from 1 species